rnacentral:rRNA from 1 species
UACAGAGGGUGCAAGCGUUGUUCGGAAUUAUUGGGCGUAAAGGGCGCGUAGGCGGUGCGGUAAGUCUGUAGUGAAAUCUCUGGGCUCAACUCAGAGUCUGCUGCAGAAACUGCCGUGCUUGAGUGUGGGAGAGGUGAGUGGAAUUCCCGGUGUAGCGGUGAAAUGCGUAGAUAUCGGAAGGAACAUCAGUGGCGAAAGCGGCUUCCUGGUCCAGCACCGACGUCAGGCACGAAAGCGUGGGGAGCAAACAGG